CAGCCGCCGCGGUAAUACGUAGGGUGCAAGCGUUAAUCGGAAUUACUGGGCGUAAAGCGUGCGCAGGCGGUUAUAUAAGACAGAUGUGAAAUCCCCGGGCUCAACCUGGGAACUGCAUUUGUGACUGUAUAGCUAGAGUACGGCAGAGGGGGAUGGAAUUCCGCGUGUAGCAGUGAAAUGCGUAGAUAUGCGGAGGAACACCGAUGGCGAAGGCAAUCCCCUGGGCCUGUACUGACGCUCAUGCACGAAAGCGUGGGGAGCAAACAGGAUUAGAGACCCGCGUAGUCCCUGUCUCUUAUAC
rnacentral:rRNA from 1 species